CACGUAGGAGGCGAGCGUUGUCCGGAAUCAUUGGGCGUAAAGAGCGCGCAGGCGGCUUGGCAAGUCGGGUGUGAAAUCCCGGGGCUCAACCCCGUGACUGCAUCCGAUACUGUCAGGCUAGAGGUAGGUAGGGGAGAUCGGAAUUCCACGUGUAGCGGUGAAAUGCGUAGAGAUGUGGAGGAACACCGAUGGCGAAGGCAGCCUCCUGGGCCAACACUGACGCUCAUGCACGAAAGCGUGGGGAGCAAACAGG
rnacentral:rRNA from 1 species